rnacentral:rRNA from 1 species
UAGGGAAUCUUCCACAAUGGACGCAAGUCUGAUGGAGCAACGCCGCGUGAGUGAAGAAGGUCUUCGGAUCGUAAAGCUCUGUUGUUGGUGAAGAAGGAUAGAGGCAGUAACUGGUCUUUAUUUGACGGUAAUCAACCAGAAAGUCACGGCUAACUACGUGCCAGCAGCCGCGGUAAUACGUAGGUGGCAAGCGUUGUCCGGAUUUAUUGGGCGUAAAGCGAGCGCAGGCGGAAUGAUAAGUCUGAUGUGAAAGCCCACGGCUCAACCGUGGAACUGCAUCGGAAACUGUCAUUCUUGAGUGCAGAAGAGGAGAGUGGAACUCCAUGUGUAGCGGUGGAAUGCGUAGAUAUAUGGAAGAACACCAGUGGCGAAGGCGGCUCUCUGGUCUGCAACUGACGCUGAGGCUCGAAAGCAUGGGUAGCGAACAGGAUUAGAUACCCUGGUAGUCCAUGCCGUAAACGAUGAGCGCUAGGUGUUGGGGACUUUCCGGUCCUCAGUGCCGCAGCAAACGC